GAUCCUGCCGGAGGCCACUGCUAUCGGUUUCCGACUAAGCCAUGCGAGUCAUGGGGCCGCAAGGCACCGGCGCACGGCUCAGUAACACGCGGAUAAUCUAUCCUCUGGUGGGGGAUAACCUCGGGAAACUGAGGCUAAUACCCCAUAGACAUUCAAUUCUGGAAAGAUUGAAUGUUGAAAGCGCAAGUGCCAGAGGGUGAGUCUGCGGCCUAUCAGGUAGUAGGUGGUGUAACGGACCACCUAGCCUAAGACGGGUACGGGCCUUGAGAGAGGGAGCCCGGAGAUGGGUUCUGAGACACGAACCCAGGCCCUACGGGGCGCAGCAGGCGCGAAACCUUCGCACUGCGCGAAAGCGCGACGAGGGGAGACCGAGUGCCUCUCCUUUUUGGGGAGGCUUUUCGCAAGCCUAAAAAGCUUGUGGAAUAAGGGCUGGGCAAGACGGGUGCCAGCCGCCGCGGUAAUACCCGCAGCUCAAGUGGUGGUCGCUUUUAUUGAGCCUAAAACGUUCGUAGUCGGCCUUGUAAAUCCCUGGGUAAAUCGGGGCGCUUAACGUUUCGAAUUCCGGGGAGACUGCAAGGCUAGGGACCGGGCGAGGUCAGAGGUACUUUCGGGGUAGGAGUGAAAUCCUGUAAUCCCGAAGGGACCACCUGUGGCGAAAGCGUCUGACUUGAACGGCUCCGACGAUGAGGAACGAAGGCUAGGGGAG
rnacentral:rRNA from 1 species